ACGGAAGGCAGCAGUGGGGGAUAUUGCACAAUGGGGGAAACCCUGAUGCAGCGACGCCGCGUGAGCGAAGAAGUAUUUCGGUAUGUAAAGCUCUAUCAGCAGGGAAGAAAAUGACGGUACCUGACUAAGAAGCCCCGGCUAACUACGUGCCAGCAGCCGCGGUAGUACGUAGGGGGCAAGCGUUAUCCGGAUUUACUGGGUGUAAAGGGAGCGCAGACGGCGAGGCAAGUCUGAUGUGAAAGCUCGGGGCUCAACCCCGGAACUGCAUUGGAAACUGUUUUGCUAGAGUGUCGGAGAGGUAAGCGGAAUUCCUAGUGUAGCGGUGAAAUGCGUAGAUAUUAGGAGGAACACCAGUGGCGAAGGCGGCUUACUGGACGAUAACUGACGUUCAUGCUCGAAAGCGUGGGGAGCAAACAGGAUUAGAUACCCUGGUA
rnacentral:rRNA from 1 species